UAGGGAAUCUUCCGCAAUGGGCGAAAGCCUGACGGAGCAACGCCGCGUGAGUGAUGAAGGUCUUCGGAUCGUAAAACUCUGUUAUUAGGGAAGAACAAAUGUGUAAGUAACUGUGCACGUCUUGACGGUACCUAAUCAGAAAGCCACGGCUAACUACGUGCCAGCAGCCGCGGUAAUACGUAGGUGGCAAGCGUUAUCCGGAAUUAUUGGGCGUAAAGCGCGCGUAGGCGGUUUCUUAAGUCUGAUGUGAAAGCCCACGGCUCAACCGUGGAGGGUCAUUGGAAACUGGGAAACUUGAGUGCAGAAGAGGAAAGUGGAAUUCCAUGUGUAGCGGUGAAAUGCGCAGAGAUAUGGAGGAACACCAGUGGCGAAGGCGACUUUCUGGUCUGUAACUGACGCUGAUGUGCGAAAGCGUGGGGAUCAAACAGGAUUAGAUACCCUGGUAGUCCACGCCGUAAACGAUGAGUGCUAAGUGUUAGGGGGUUUCCGCCCC
rnacentral:rRNA from 1 species